rnacentral:rRNA from 1 species
GACGAACCGAGCGAACGUUGUUCGGAAUCACUGGGCUUAAAGGGCGCGUAGGCGGACUAUCAAGUCUGGGGUGAAAUCCCGCGGCUCAACCGUGAAACUGCCUCAGAUACUGACGGUCUCGAGGGAGGUAGGGGCAUGCGGAACUGUAGGUGGAGCGGUGAAAUGCGUUGAUAUCUACAGGAACUCCGGUGGCGAAAGCGGCGUGCUGGACCUCUUCUGACGCUGAGGCGCGAAAGCUAGGGGAGCAAACGGG